AAUAAUAGAAUUCGGAGAUCCAAUUUUUAGGUAAUCUGUUGAUCACAAGGAGUUGUGAUUGUGAGAUACAAAUUACAUAUAAUUGGAUCUUGAAUAAACCAUGGUCAUAAGUAAUAACGAGAUAUGGAUAUCGUUAAUACAGUUAGACCAUCACGUGUGGCAUUUCUUACUUGUGAAGUAAGUAACUGAUCUCACGAGCUAAAGUGUGGUGACACUUAAAUGAACACGUGGAUGUUUUGUUAUAGAACAAAACAUUGGAGACCCGCUAAGAGAUUCCACAUGGAU
rnacentral:lncRNA from 1 species